CUCAACUUCGUGAAUCAGGAGCAUUCAUAAUUCCUCUGUUGGUUUAGCAAUUUCGGAGCCAGCUAUUGUCCAAUUGGAGUCAUGGACAAUUCCGUCGAUUACCGCCGCCGUUCCCGUUACCGUUCCAGUUCCCGUUCUCGUUCUCGUUCCCGCUCAUAUUCGCCAAAAUAUCGUAGCUCUAGAAGAAGAAGAAGUCCCGAAGGCAACUACCAGCAAACCCUAAACUCCUUGCCGAAAAGAUUUGGGAAGAGCAAUCGGGAUUAUCGGAACGGAUAUGAUUCGGCAUCGGAAUCUGAUGAGGAAUUGAAGGGGCUGAGCUACAUGGAGUACCGAUGGCAAAAGAGGCAGAAGAUGCGUAAAUCCAUGAAACACUGUUUUUGGAGUGCGACGCCGAGUCCGCCGAGGAAUGAGAAUGAUGAUUUGGAGGAUGAAAAUCCUGACGAGAUUUCUGAUAAAUUCGGAGGUAAUGAAGAGAAUGGGAAAAUUGAGUCUGGAAAAUCGGGUAGUUCUGAAUCUGAAUCCGACGAUUUACGGGCUAAGAAGAAGGGGAGAAAGAAUAAAUCCAAGGCUGAGGAAUCGGAGAGCAGUGAGUUUGAUUCUGAUUCCAAUUCUGAAUCUGAUGAUUCAAGGUCUGGGAAGAAGAAGAGAAAGAGCAGGAGUUCUAGGCGUAAAAGUAGGAAGUACAGUGAGUUGGAAGAUGAUGUCAGUGAUUCUGAAGAGGAAGAAGAUAGAAAAGGAAGGAAGAGACGAAAUAGGCCACAUAGGAGUGGUAUGAGGGGAAGAAGCAGCAGUAAAAGAAAUAGAAGUAGAAGAAAAAGCAAGUAUAGUGAUUCGGAUGAGAGCAAGAGUGAUAAGAGCAAAACUGAUGAAUCUGAUGCCAGUCAGUCAUCAGAUGAUGAUAAUGAUAAAUUAAAGAAGAAGCUUUCUUCGAAUUCAAGGUCGAAACGGAGUAAGAAAGAGCUGAAAUCUGAAACUGAGAGUGAUGAGAAUUCAGAUAAGGAGAUAGUGGAUGAGGCCAAGCAGGCUGAAAUCAAUGCUGAGGUACUUAAGUUUAAAGAAAUGAUCGAAUCUCAGAAGAAACCUGCUUUAGACGACGAGGAACCAGUGGUUGGUCCAAUGCCAUUGCCUAGAGCUGAAGGGCAUAUUAGUUAUGGUGGUGCGCUUAGGCCUGGAGAAGGUGAUGCCAUUGCUCAGUAUGUACAGCAAGGGAAGCGUAUUCCACGAAGAGGUGAAGUCGGUCUGUCUGCGGAUGAAAUUCAGAAGUUUGAGAGUCUUGGGUAUGUGAUGAGUGGUAGUAGGCACCAGAGGAUGAAUGCUAUUCGUAUUAGGAAGGAAAACCAGGUUUAUAGUGCAGAGGACAAGCGAGCAUUGGCCAUGUUUAACUAUGAGGAGAAGGCGAAACGUGAGCAUAAGGUUAUGGCUGAUUUGCAGCGACUGGUGCAGCGUCACAUUGGGCAGGAUGUUGGUCCUACCCACGAUCCUUUUGCUACAAAAGAUGGUGAAGAAACUUGAUGCGCAUGUUUCCUGCUGUGGACAUAGUGAUUAUUGCUGGAAAUGUAGAUGUGUCAUCUUAAAUCAUUUGGCACAUUAUAUCAGAACUUUAUUUUGACCCAGAGGACAAGUUUAAGUAGACAUUAUCUUCGUUUCAUAACAAGGUCCAGAUGACAUUUGAAUGUAUUCCUAUAAUUCAGCUUUCACUUCGGUUGCUGUUCUUUUAAUUUAAGUUGCCAGCACAAAGCAGAGCAAGCACAAAGGCGCAUACUAUAUAUCGUGACUCCAGAGAACCCCAGAGCCACAGUUGGGGGAGCUUUUGCAUUAUUUUCAGUUAUGAAUUUCUAAGUUGUCAAGUUUGCCCCAGCUAGCUACGGUUUAAGCUUUGCAAACUUGGGUAUUUGAAUUUCAUGUUUCUAUGAUGAAAAGCGUAGGGGUUAAGACUUUUCAAAACCUUGUGAAAUGAACUGCUAUAGAAUUGUUGCUCUCACUUUUACAACCAUCGAAUGAUGAUACUUUUUAAAACUAAGUAUACUAUAAAUCCCAAAACCAAUUAU